AGGAGACGAAAAAAAAGUAGUCCCUACCAAGAAUCAAUCCCAAAAGGUCGGAGCGAGGCGAAAUUGGCUUUCAAACUAGGUUCUGGGUUCAAACAAGACCUGAAUCAGGAACAAGGGCUAUUAGCUCAGGUGGUUAGAGCGCACCCCUGAUAAGGGUGAGGUCCCUGGUUCGAGUCCAGGAUGGCCCACCUGUACAGGUGGCAAAAAGAAAGAAAAGAAGCGAGGAAUCAGCACCUUAUCUUACUUAUAUAGUAAGAGAGAAUGCUGGCUCUGAGUUCAGAGUCCAGAGGAACCUUGAAAACUGCAUAGAGCUAGGUGAAA
rnacentral:tRNA from 1 species